rnacentral:lncRNA from 1 species
AUAUAGUGUUAGUUGUUGCAACAUAUUUUUGCAGCUCAGAACUGAUCAGUGUUUUCUGAAAUCCCCAUUAAACUUUUUACUUUGGUGUUUGGUGAGAUAUUUCCCAUUAAGCUUAAAUAACAAACAAGUUUGAUUGUUAGUACUAAAAAAAUUCCCACUGCUUUGCACAAUAGAUUUAUACAUUUAACUGCUCAUCCCCAAUGUCCUGCCCAUGCUCUCUCUCUCUCUCUCUCUCUCUCUCUCUCUCUCUCUCUCUCUCUCAAGAUGCAACGGGUAUCCAAAUCCAGCAGCCAAAAAUCAGUUUCAUUCCAUGUAUUUUUCAAGAUCAAAAUCCUAACUGGAAGUUUCUUCAAUACUUGAUUAACAAAGACAGCUUUAUUUCUUAAUAUGAUCCAAUCAGACGCCUAAAGUAUUCCAAUUUGACGUUUUGCACCGUAUUGGCUUUAACAAAUUUUCUGUUGGUUUAGCUUCUGAGGUCUUGAUGGCAAUCUGUUUUUGCGACUUGCAUUUUAUUGCAGCAUUCUAGCAGGCAUUCCACCACUUGAACAGCAACCGACCCAGCGGCUUUUACAGGAGCCCUUUAGGAUUUUAUUACCCGUCAGUACACCACACCACAUGUUACCUCACCUCAACAUCAUCAGCAUCAUCUCGAGAUGGUAGAACUUGUUGCAAUUUCAUUUCAUUUGUUUAGGAGAUGGUAUGAGAGAAAGGGUGUUAAUCCUUAUAGGAAGAUGUGAAGACAUAAACGAAGAGAGAAGAAAUAGUGGUGUCAUUGAUGUUAGUGGAUGAUUCUUAAUUGGCAGGGUAUGAACACUGUUCUGAUCGUGAAAGAUGGAGGUAUAUCAGAGACGAGUAUACGCAAACCACCUCCAUACUUGCCUCCCCCUAAUGACUCACCUACCAUUCAAGAUUCGGCUGGAGAAGUAGAUGGAUUUUGACGUGAUAGAACUAUAAGUUGUAGAUUGAAGACCCUUUGAG